GUCAACGCCGUAAACGAUGUGUGCUUGACGUUGGCGGGUUUACCCGCCGGUGUCGCAGCUAACGCGAUAAGCACACCGCCUGGGGAGUACGGCCGCAAGGUUAAAACUCAAAGGAAUUGACGGGGGCCGCACAAGCGGUGGAGCAUGUGGUUUAAUUCGACGCAACGCGAAGAACCUUACCAGCCCUUCGACAUGGGGAGGUAUGGGUUGGCCGAGAGGUGAUCCUUCAGUUCGGCUGGCUCCCACACAGGUGCUGCAUGGCUGUCGU
rnacentral:rRNA from 1 species